rnacentral:lncRNA from 1 species
UUCUCUCCACUUUCUGACUUUAUGCACGACCAGCAGAGCAUUCCAACAGCUCCCAAGCGUAACCUCGUUGUUCCAACCUUCAACUCAUCAACUCGCGGAAUUAACAAAGGAAACUUUGCAAAACCGUAAUUGAUGACGUUGAUGAUGAUGAAAGUUAGUAGGGUUGACUAGAUACACACUUUAGAAAUCAACCUUUUGUUGUUGUAUUUGUUUCGAACAUUAUGUUGUACUUGAUUUAU